UACGUAGGGUGCAAGCGUUAAUCGGAAUUACUGGGCGUAAAGCGUGCGCAGGCGGUUGUGCAAGACCGAUGUGAAAUCCCCGGGCUCAACCUGGGAAUGGCAUUGGUGACUGCACGGCUAGAGUGUGUCAGAGGGGGGUAGAAUUCCACGUGUAGCAGUGAAAUGCGUAGAGAUGUGGAGGAACACCGAUGGCGAAGGCAGCCCCCUGGGCCAACACUGACGCUCAGGCACGAAAGCGUGGGGAGCAAACAGG
rnacentral:rRNA from 1 species